rnacentral:tRNA from 1 species
GAUAAGAUGCCUGAUUAAAGGAUUAUUUUGAUAGAAUGAAUUAUGUAAGUAUAGUUACUCUUAUUA